AUGGCGACCGGCGCACGGGUGAGCAACACGUAUCCAACCUGCCCUUUACUCGGGGAUAGCCUUUCGAAAGAAAGAUUAAUACCCGAUGGCAUAAUGAUUCCGCAUGGUUUCAUUAUUAAAGGAUUCCGGUAAAGGAUGGGGAUGCGUUCCAUUAGGUUGUUGGUGAGGUAACGGCCCACCAAGCCUUCGAUGGAUAGGGGUUCUGAGAGGAAGGUCCCCCACAUUGGAACUGAGACACGGUCCAAACUCCUACGGGAGGCAGCAUG
rnacentral:rRNA from 1 species